GGGGCUCCUAGAACCCACUCUCCCCAAAGGCGAGUUUCCCAGGCGCCGCUCGUGCUGUUGCUGGAAAGCGAGCUCGCUGUAGACCGGCCGCGACACCAUGUAGCUGCAGCUGUACUCGGGGAGCUGCGGCGGCUCCGACCUGCCGCCUGGCGCUGCCAUGACCUGCGAGCCAGAGGACAGCGAGGAGGGAGGACACGCGAGACAGGGUUUUGCCAUCUUGCUCAGGCUGGUCUCAAACUCCUGUGCUCAAGAGAUCCACCUGCUUCAUCCUCCCAGGGUGCUGGGAUUACAUGUGUGAGCCACCACACCCAGAGGAAAUGACAUUUGAAGAGAGACUAAAGGAUGAGAAAAAGACAGCCUUCCUGGAAGAGGAAACAGCAAAUGCAAAAACUCUGAGUUAGGAAAGAACUUGAUGCACUUGAGAAACAAAAAGAAGGCCGGCAAGACUGAAAUCCACAUAAGUCAGACCCGGGCACAGCAAACUGGACGUCCUCAGUAUAUAUGUGGCAACUGAAACCAGGCAUUUAGGACAUGAUCUCAUUCUGUUGCCCAGGGUGAGUGCAGUGGCACCUUCAUGGCUCAUUGCAGUCUCGAUCUCCCAGGCUCAAGCGAUCCUCCCACCUCAGCCUCCCAAAGUGCUGGGAUUGCAGGCGUGAGCCACCUUGCCCAGCCCAUUCUGCAAUCUUCGGAAGGAAGUCACUAUAUGCAGCCUAUGCUUGAGGAGUGGGGAGUUGAAUUCCACAUCCUUGAGGGCAGAAUACCUAAAUAAAUUAUUUGGAAUUCUUCUGCAAGAGA
rnacentral:lncRNA from 1 species